UUGAACGUUUUGUAGAAUAUUUCUUGAAAAACAAAAUAUCGUAUAUAAUUUUUUUUAAUGUGUGAAUUACAAUAAUAUUUCAAUAAUAAUUAAGUUUAAUUCGAUUUAAAUAUUCAAGAUUUUAACUCUCAUUUGUGUUGGUGUUCAAUAUAUGAGAAGGAUGGGUGUUUGUUGCGGAGCAGCUCCUGGAGGAGAUCUUGCAUUGCUGAGUCGCAGUUCAAUUCAGUUGGUCCAGUAGCAGAGAAAUUUUUGAUUCAAUGCAGUCAUCGUAUUUUUUACACGACGCAACAAAUUUCCCUUACAGGUAGUUGAACCAAAAGAAGAACGAUUCAUUUUUUAUAAAAAGGAAAUGCUGUCAUCGUAUCUCUAACACUAGGCACAAAUUUCCCAAUACAGAUCCAUUUCAAUUUUUUGCAAAUACUUUGAAGAGACUAGGAAGGAUGUGGAAGAAGAAAAGUGGCCCCAGCAUACAGUUUUGUUUUCAUAAAUUUUUUUUUCUCUUUUCUUAUUUUUUUAAAAAGAUUUUUUUUUGUACUCCCAACCUUUCGCAGAAGUGCGAUCAAGAAAAAAGGGAUCUUUGGGAGUUGGCCUGAAGUGCUCGUGAAGUGGCGAUGACGUUAUUGCCCCAACGUUGGGAUGAUUCGCCGAUCGAUGAGUCGUUUUUUUAUUU